AUUGAACGCUGGCGGCAGGCCUAACACAUGCAAGUCGAGCGGAUGAAGGGAGCUUGCUCCUGGAUUCAGCGGCAGACGGGUGAGUAAUGCCUAGGAAUCUGCCUGGUAGUGGGGGAUAACGUCCGGAAACGGGCGCUAAUACCGCAUACGUCCUGAGGGGGAAAGUGGGGGAUCUUCGGACCUCACGCUAUCAGAUGAGCCUAGGUCGGAUUAGCUAGUUGGUGGGGUAAAGGCCUACCAAGGCGACGAUCCGUAACUGGUCUGAGAGGAUGAUCAGUCACACUGGAACUGAGACACGGUCCAGACUCCUACGGGAGGCAGCAGUGGGGAAUAUUGGACAAUGGGCGAAAGCCUGAUCCAGCCAUGCCGCGUGUGUGAAGAAGGUCUUCGGAUUGUAAAGCACUUUAAGUUGGGAGGAAGGGCAGUAAGUUAAUACCUUGCUGUUUUGACGUUACCAACAGAAUAAGCACCGGCUAACUUCGUG
rnacentral:rRNA from 1 species